rnacentral:sRNA from 1 species
AUGUACCACGCGUACACUCCGGUUCUCCCGCGCCGUCCGCACCUACCUGACGAUUGCUCGCUACGUUUUGUUAGCC